rnacentral:rRNA from 1 species
AACGAACGCUGGCGGCAUGCCUAACACAUGCAAGUCGAACGAAGUCUUCGGACUUAGUGGCGCACGGGUGCGUAACGCGUGGGAAUCUGCCCUUGGGUGCGGAAUAACUUCUCGAAAGGGAUGCUAAUACCGCAUAAUGUCGUAAGACCAAAGAUUUAUCGCCCAAGGAUGAGCCCGCGUAAGAUUAGCUAGUUGGUGGGGUAAAAGCCUACCAAGGCGACGAUCUUUAGCUGGUCUGAGAGGAUGAUCAGCCACACUGGGACUGAGACACGGCCCAGACUCCUACGGGAGGCAGCAGUGGGGAAUAUUGGACAAUGGGCGAAAGCCUGAUCCAGCAAUGCCGCGUGAGUGAUGAAGGCCCUAGGGUUGUAAAGCUCUUUACCCGGGAUGAUAAUGACAGUACCGGGAGAAUAAGCUCCGGCUAACUCCGUGCCAGCAGCCGCGGUAAU